rnacentral:lncRNA from 1 species
UGUACCGGAUUUGCAGCUGUUAGACUGAAAAGAUGUAGAUGAAGACUGAAAAGCAUCCUUGUCCUAGGAAUAUUGUACACCAAGUACACAAGGGAAGAGGACGAGAAGAGAGAAUAUGGAAGUCAUCACUUCUGCAUACAGACUGUUUGAAUUUAUCUUAAGCUUUAAGCCUCUAGGAAGAAUAGACUCUACCAAUAGUUUAUUGUAAAUGUAUCCUAAUUCAGGAUUCAGAUUAAAGUAGGUUAAUCCAACAAGCCACUAAAAUCAAAAGGCAGAAUGGAAAAUUGAUUGUUGAAUUAUGACUGUCACAUCAGCUCUAGUUUAACAUGGUGACAUCAAGAUAAGUCAGUGUCUACCCAUACAUGAGUUCAUCAGCGUGACAAGACGGUUCGAAUAGUGAGACUCCCAAUUCCUAAAGGUGAAACACAACUGAAUUAUAACCUACUGAGAGGUUGGUUGGAAGGCACCCAUGGGUGAACUAAACCAGUGCUUUCCUAAAACAAACCGGAAAUUCACUGUUUUGUAGUUCAGAGAAAAGCCUAACUGUGAGAAAAUAUGAAAUCCUACUUGAGGAUGAAAACUGAACUGAAGAAGAAAUUUGUAAAAGCAGGUAGGCUGCUUGGUAUGAACCUGAAUUUGUUAAUAAACAGAAUGUACUCGCAACAUUUGGCUGGUUUACAGGAUCCUCAAAAGUUUUGGAAGCGGAUCAAAGUUUUGCUGGGCGGCUGGGAUUUUUCCCUCUCCCCUCCACAAUACAGCAGAUGAGGAAGCUUUUAGAGAGAAGUGAUCUGGAAAACAUGCUGAAAAGUGGGGGUCCUCAGCUCCCUGUGCCAUGGGAGGAGAAGGUGGAGGCCCCAAGGGGGGCCGUGGCGCUGCUGUCUGAGGUGCUGAAGCUGGAGGGCACCGAGGAGGACCGACCCCCCCACCACGCGUCCCCUCUGCUCCCCCCUCACACCAGGCAAAAAAGUUCAAUUGUGGCUAUAAAAAGUAUUCCUGAAGCAAGUCAUGGGUAG